CCUACGGGAGGCAGCAGUGGGGGAUAUUGCACAAUGGGGGAAACCCUGAUGCAGCGACGCCGCGUGGGUGAAGAAGUAUUUCGGUUUGUAAAGCCCUAUCAGCAGGGAAGAAGAAAUGACGGUACCUGAGUUAGAAGCACCGGCUAAAUACGUGCCAGCAGCCGCGGUAAUAUGCAGGGUCCAAGCGUUAUCCGGAUUUACUGGGUGUAAGGGAGCGCAGGUGGCACGGCAAGCGUGAGGUGAAAGCGCGCGGCCCAACAGCGGGACUGCAUUGGGAACUACCGGGCUGGAGUGCCGGAGAGGUAGGCGGAAUUCCUAGUGUAGCGGUGAAAUGCGUAGAUAUUAGGAGGAACACCAGUGGCGAAGGCGGCCUACUGGACGGUGACUGACGCUGAGGCUCGAAAGCGUGGGGAGCAAACAGGAUUAGAUACCCCGGUAGUC
rnacentral:rRNA from 1 species